ACGCACGCUGGCGGCGUGCUUCACACCUGCAAGUCGGACGAAGAGCGCUGGAAGCUUGCUUCUAUCAAUCUUAGUGGCGAACGGGUGAGUAACGCGUAAUCAACCUGCCCUUCAGAGGGGGACAACAGUUGGAAACGACUGCUAAUACCGCAUACGAUCUGACCUCGGCAUCGAGGAUAGAGGAAAGGUGGCCUCUACAUGUAAGCUAUCACUGAAGGAGGGGAUUGCGUCUGAUUGGCUAGGUGGAGGGGUAACGGCCCACCAAGGCGAUGAUCAGUAGCAGGUCGGAGAUGAUGAACGGCCGCAUUGGGACUGUGACACGGCCCAGACUGCUAGGGGAGGCAGCAGUAGUGAAUCUUGCGCAAUGGGCGGAAGUCUGACGGAGCAACGCCGCGGGAGUGAUGACGACCUUCGGGUUGUAAAGCUCUGUUAAUCGGGACGAAAGGCCUUUUUGCGAAGAGUGAGAAGGAUUGACGGUAACGGAAUAGAAAGCCACGGCUAACUACGUG
rnacentral:rRNA from 1 species